rnacentral:rRNA from 1 species
AUGAUAUACCUAAGUGUUGGUCUAUACUUUAAUGCACCUGUGUUCACGCAUGGCCAGCUUUAUGUAGCAGUGUCGCGUGUGACCUCAAAAAAGGCUUUGAAAAUCCUGAUUGAACAUGAAGAUGGUACUACUGAUUCUCAGACCAGGAACACUGUGUUUCAUGGCAAGCACCAUUUUGUUGGUUCCUGCCUUGCCAAUGUCUACAGCAAUGUGUGCGGCCUUUGUCUCAUCUGUGGCAUUACCGUGGGGCGUGGGGCGACUCAUAAUGGGCCUAUCAAGCAUACUGACCUUGUGAUGAUAGAUAAAGAGGUUGAUGUCAGUGCCAUUCAGAUAAAUAUAUUUUUAGCCCUUUGA